rnacentral:ncRNA from 1 species
UGACCUCAACUCAGUCGUGAUUACCCGCUGAAUUUAAGCAUAUAACUAAGCGGAGGAAAAGAAACUAGCGAGGAUUUCCCUAGUAACGGCGAGUGAAAAGAAAAAAGCCCAACGCUGAAUCCAAUACAUAUUAUAUGGCUAUAUGGAAAUGUAGCGUAUAGGUAUAACUAUCCGUAAAUAUUUUUACACCCAAAGUCCCCUUAAGCGGGGCUACAGUCCGUAGAAGGUGCUAGACCUGUACGGGUGAAAAAAGUUACGGUAGGUUAUUCCUUAGAGUCGGGUUGUUGGGUUAAUUAAAAGUAAUAAUUGUAUUUGCAUUGAUUUAUAUUUAUUAUUAUCAAAUAAUUUNAUGAAUGAAAAAAGAUGAUUGAAUCAAUGAUUAGAUACAAAAUGCAUCAGGUAAUUUGUAACAGAGAGUGAGAAUGAAAAAAUCUCAAAAUGAAUCCCCUGAUAAGUAAUAGAUAUGAGUGAUAUUUUUACCUUAUUUAACUUA